rnacentral:rRNA from 1 species
UACAGGGGGGGCAAGCGUUGUUCGGAAUUACUGGGCGUAAAGGGCUCGUAGGCGGCCAACUAAGUCCGACGUGAAAUCCCCAAGCUUAACUUGGGAACUGCGUCGGAUACUGGAUGGCUUGAAUUCGGGAGAGGGAUGCAGAAUUCCAGGUGUAGCGGUGAAAUGCGCAGAUAUCAGGAAGAACACCAAUGGCGAAGGCAGCUCUCUGGGACGGUACUGACGCUGAGACGCGAAAGCGUGGGGAGCGAACAGG